rnacentral:tRNA from 1 species
GGAGAUGUAGCUCAGUGAUAUAGCACUUGUUUACCAUGCACAAGGUCCUGGGUUCAAUCCCCAGCACUGCCG